AGUGAACGCUGGCGGCAGGCCUAAUACAUGCAAGUCGAACGGCAGCACAGCAGAGCUUGCUCUGUGGGUGGCGAGUGGCGGACGGGUGAGGAAUACAUGGGAAUCUGCCCAGUCGUGGGGGAUAACGUAUGGAAACGUACGCUAAUACCGCAUGCGCCCUACGGGGGAAAGUCGGGGAUCGCAAGGCCUGACGCGAUUGGAUGAGCCCAUGUUCGAUUAGCUAGUUGGCGGGGUAAAGGCCCACCAAGGCGACGAUCGAUAGCUGGUCUGAGAGGAUGAUCAGCCACACUGGAACUGAGACACGGUCCAGACUCCUACGGGAGGCAGCAGUAGGGAAUAUUGGACAAUGGGGGCAACCCUGAUCCAGCCAUGCCGCGUGAGUGAAGAAGGCCCUCGGGUUGUAAAGCUCUUUUGUCCGGAAAGAAAAGCAUCUGGUUAAUACCCGGGUGUUCUGACGGUACCGGAAGAAUAAGCACCGGCUAACUUCGUGCC
rnacentral:rRNA from 1 species